rnacentral:rRNA from 1 species
AUUGAACGCUGGCGGCAUGCCUUACACAUGCAAGUCGAACGGUAACAGGUCUUCGGUUGCUGACGAGUGGCGAACGGGUGAGUAAUACAUCAGAACGUGCCCGACCGUGGGGGGUAACGGAGCGAAAGCUUUGCUAAUACCGCAAACGAUCUACGCAUGACAGCAGGGGACCGCAAGGCCUUGCGCGGUCGGACCGGCCGAUGGGCGCUUAGGGAGUUGGUGGGAUAAAAGCUUACCGAGCCGACGAUCUGUAGCUGGUCUGAGAGGACGACCAGCCACACUGGGACUGAGACACGGCCCAGACUCCUACGGGAGGCAGCAGUGGGGAAUUUUGGACAAUGGGCGAAAGCCUGAUCCAGCCAUGCCGCGUGCAGGAUGAAGGCCUUCGGGUUGUAAACUGCUUUUGUACGGAACGAAAAGACUCUUUCUAAUAAAGAGGGUCCAUGACGGUACCGGAAGAAUAAGCACCGGCUAACUACGUG